AACGAACGCUGGCGGCAUGCCUAACACAUGCAAGUCGAACGAGACCUUCGGGUCUAGUGGCGCACGGGUGCGUAACGCGUGGGAACCUGCCUUUAGGUUCGGAAUAACUCAGAGAAAUUUGAGCUAAUACCGGAUGAUGUCUUCGGACCAAAGAUUUAUCGCCUUUAGAUGGGCCCGCGUUGGAUUAGCUAGUUGGUGGGGUAAAGGCCUUCCAAGGCGACGAUCCAUAGCUGGUCUGAGAGGAUGAUCAGCCACACUGGGACUGAGACACGGCCCAGACUCCUACGGGAGGCAGCAGUGGGGAAUAUUGGACAAUGGGCGAAAGCCUGAUCCAGCAAUGCCGCGUGAGUGAUGAAGGCCUUAGGGUUGUAAAGCUCUUUUACCCGAGAUGAUAAUGACAGUAUCGGGAGAAUAAGCUCCGGCUAACUCCGUG
rnacentral:rRNA from 1 species